CGUAGGGGGCAAGCGUUGUCCGGAAUCAUUGGGCGUAAAGAGCGUGUAGGCGGUCCGGUAAGUCGGCUGUGAAAGUCCAGGGCUCAACCCUGGGAUGCCGGUCGAUACUGCCGGACUAGAGUUCGGAAGAGGCGAGUGGAAUUCCCGGUGUAGCGGUGAAAUGCGCAGAUAUCGGGAGGAACACCUAUGGCGAAGGCAGCUCGCUGGGACGUUACUGACACUGAGUCGCGAAAGCGUGGGGAGCGAACAGG
rnacentral:rRNA from 1 species